rnacentral:rRNA from 1 species
GACGAACGCUGGCGGCGUGCUUAACACAUGCAAGUCGAACGGAAAGGCCCUGCUUUUGUGGUGUGCUCGAGUGGCGAAAGGGUGAGUAACACGUGAGUAACCUGCCCUUGACGUUGGGAUAACUUCAGGAAACUGGGACUAAUACCGGAUAUGAGCUCCUGCUGCAUGGUGGGGGUUGGAAAGUUUCGGCGGUUGGGGAUGGACUCGCGGCUUAUCAGCUUGUUGGUGGGGUAGUGGCUUACCAAGGCGUUGACGGGUAGCGGGCCUGAGAGGGUGACCGGCCACAUUGGGACUGAGAUACGGCCCAGACGCCUACGGGAGGCAUCAGUGGGGAAUAGUGCACAAUGGGCGGAAGCCUGAUGCAGCAACGCCGCGUGCGGGAUGACGGCCUUCGGGUUGUAAACCGCUUUCGCCUGUGACGAAGCGUGAGUGACGGUAAUGGGUAAAGAAGCACCGGCUAACUACGUG